rnacentral:misc_RNA from 1 species
GAUGAAGAACGUAGCGAAAUGCGAUAAGUAAUGCGAAUUGCAGAAUUCAGUGAGUCAUCGAAUCUUUGAACGCACAUUGCGCCCUGUGGUAUUCCGCAGGGCAUGCCUGUUCGAGCGUCAUUUCUACCCUCAAGCUCUGCUUGGUGUUGGGCCCCGCCCGCUCGCGGCCGGCCCUAAAGACAGUGGCGGCAGCGCCUGGCUCCAAGCGUAGUACAGCUCUCGCUCUGGGGCUAGGCGGUAGCCUGCCAGAACCCCCCUUCUAUGGUUGACCUCGGAUCAGGUAGGGAUACCCGCUGAACUUAAGCAUAUCAAUAAGCGGAGGA